CCUUACGGCUCAGUAACACGUGGAUAACCUGCCCUUGGGUCCGGCAUAACCCCGGGAAACUGGGGAUAAUUCCGGAUAACGCACAUAUGCUGGAAUGCUUUAUGCGUAAAAUGGAUUCGUCUGCCCAAGGAUGGGUCUGCGGCCUAUCAGGUAGUAGUGGGUGUAAUGUACCUACUAGCCAACAACGGGUACGGGUUGUGAGAGCAAGAGCCCGGAGAUGGAUUCUGAGACAUGAAUCCAGGCCCUACGGGGCGCAGCAGGCGCGAAAACUUUACAAUGCGGGAAACCGUGAUAAGGGGACACCGAGUGCCAGCGUCAUACGCUGGCUGUCCAGGUGUGUAAAAUACACCUGUUAGCAAGGGCCGGGCAAGACCGGUGCCAGCCGCCGCGGUAACACCGGCGGCCCGAGUGGUGAUCGUGAUUAUUGGGUCUAAAGGGUCCGUAGCCGGUUUGGUCAGUCCUCCGGGAAAUCUGAUAGCUCAACUAUUAGGCUUUCGGGGGAUACUGCCAGACUUGGAACCGGGAGAGGUAAGAGGUACUACAGGGGUAGGAGUGAAAUCUUGUAAUCCCUGUGGGACCACCUGCGGCGAAGGCGUCUUACCAGAACGGGUUCGACGGUGAGGGACGAAAGCUGGGGGCACGAACCGGAUUAGAUACCCGGGUAGUCCCAGCCGUAAACGAUGCUCGCUAGGUGUCAGGCAUGGCGCGACCGUGUCUGGUGCCGCAGGGAAGCCGUGAAGCGAGCCACCUGGGAAGUACGGCCGCAAGGCUGAAACUUAAAGGAAUUGGCGGGGGAGCAC
rnacentral:rRNA from 1 species